UUACUAUGCACUUAGGGAGCGUUCGGUAUUUAUGGAAAGGACCACCAGAGGAAAAUAGGGGAGGGUAAUAUCUUUUUAUUCUUUGUU